rfam:Oryza rufipogon genomic scaffold, chr04
AAUAAACGCAGCCGUGGGUUUCAGUGUCCAACUUUGACCAUCCAUCUUAUUUAAAAUAAUUUUAUGAUUAUUAUUUUUGUGUUUUAUUGGAUGAUAAAAUAUGAAUAGUACUUUAUAAGGGACUUAACUUUUAAAAAUUUUUAAAUAAGACGACGGUCAAACGUUGAGCAUGAAAACUUAUGGGUGCACUUAAU